rnacentral:tRNA from 1 species
GGAUUUGCAAUCCUCUGCCUUACCACUUGGCCAUGUCGCCGUUUUUUGUUUAAAAAAAAUAAAAAAAAA